rnacentral:lncRNA from 1 species
UCUAAACCAUUUUUUAUCUUAACUUGUAUUAUUAACAUAAAAAUAUUUUCUUAGACCUAGAACAUCAUCUUAAAUCCUAAACAACUUAAGCUUAUACUAAGACUAUGACUAUCUAGUCUUCAAACCCACCAGAGACCUGAAAAGGAAUAAGUAUUAUCUGAGCAUGCAGGAAGUGCAGGGACAUAGCUUCCAAAAAUUAUAGAAAUGACAGAGACAACUGACAGCCUUUACAGUCUCCAGUAUUCUCUAAUGUUGGAGCAUUUAUCUUCAGCCUUCUGGCCCAGAAUAUCUGACAGACCUUUUGUGAAGAAGGAAUUAUGAAGGACUUGUUUAUGAUGUCUUGGCAGAGUUUGGUAGUCUACUUUCCAGCAUCUGUCUGUCCUUUCUAGACAGCAACUUUUUCAUGACAUGAGGCAAGUUUAGAUUGAGAUGUAGAUUUGUACUUCUUUGCCUGUCUUCCUUUCUGUACACAGGAGUUUCUUAUUGAUUUCUUUUGACUCAUCAGCCAUAUUUAGUUAAAGUGAACUAGUAUCCUAUCAAGUCCGCCUUGAGUAUCUAUACUUUGGUUCCUUGAAUCCCAUAAUCACUAUGGCCCCUAGUCGUCACCUGUUCAUAAGCCUCCGACUCACUCAUCAUCACCAUCAGUGCCCACCUGCUCUCUGCUCCUUGUAUCAUCCUUAACAUAAAAGAUCCAAGAAAGGACAUGCCUCUUCAUGGCUGAAGGGCCACACUCAGCCUGUACUCUGUGAAUUGCUAGUGUUUUGAUUAAGUUUGCAAAAUGUAACACAGUAAACACAGAACAAUUGGUUUCUCGAGCAAAAAAGAAACAUUAGGUUUCACAAGCUUUACUUUCUACAUUUUGAGUCAAAUAUCUGAAGAUAAAUAUUUGUACAAUUAAUUGUAUUUACUUUAACCAUUUGCUUAAUUUCCCUUUUUCCAUUUACAUAGAAUACAAAGUGAAAAUGGUCUAGAUUCCUUUCUCAGAGUACAUACAGUUAAGGAAACUGGGGGGAACCAGUCCCAUUCAAAUGGGAGGUUCUGGAUCUCUCCUUGGCAAGAAUUGCCAACUGGCUUAGAAAUCCUUUUCAAUAUUUCCAGUAUGCAUCUAUAGCUACAAAACUGCAAGACAUGGAAAAUUUCCUAUGAAUACCAUCUGAGAAGUUGACAAGAAGCCUUUCAUGUUUUCAGAGUCUGUUUUGUAUUACUAAUAAUGGUCAUACAUAGUUGAGUGCCUAUUAUAAUAUUACCAAUAUUGGUAAUGAUGAUAAGAGUAACAAUAAUUUAUUAAGUACCUUUUGAAUUAUGUGAAUCAAAUGCUAUCUCAAUGCUAUUAUACCCUAGUCUUGGCAUUUUUUUUAAAAUGUGGCACAAACCAGGAAGACAGGAGCAUCAAGUGGCUGAAAAGCAAGCAGAGAUGAUGUUCAGUACUUUGCUGUGAUAUCUCCCUCAACUGGAAACAACUGUGUGAAACAAAAAGCCUUAUCUCCAUUCCACAGAUAACAAAACUAAAUAGCAGGAAUAUUAAACAACUCAUCAAAGCCACAGUACCUAAAUAUGUUUGGAUCCAUCUUAUUCCAGCCUGUGAAAUACUCUCUAUCCCUCUAGGGUGAUGGGCCUUUGUGGAACCACAGGAAAAAUCCUUCAUAGAACAGUUGAAAUCCCUUCAUUGUGCAUGCACGUCUCAUCACACCCCAUCCCCCAUUACCCAUCCUAUUCUUUUCAGAAAUAGGAGUCAGUGUGUUACGGAGAUGUCCUGGCGGAAGAUUACCAAAGAGAAGACCGAAAAGGUUGUGAUUAUCUAGGAUCUGAGCACCAGAACCUGGAGCUGAGGGCCACAUUGAAGCUUCUGCUGGACUAGUGGACCACUGUCUCAGAGAGAAGUAGCCUGCUUGAAGGGUCCUCAUCACAGCACCCCAAGAAGAAUUAGAGGACAGGGAGUGGGGGUGGGGCUUGACUGGGGAGGUGAGAUUAAAAGACUUCACUAAUUAUCCUUUAUCUGAGUUUUGACUGAGACAGAGGGGGUAAAAUGUUGGUAAAUACCCACUGGAUGUGGUCAUCUCUGACGAUGAGACUCACAGGCGGCUCUCCAGGCAAGAAGAUGUUGUCCAUGAGAGAGCAAAGUGGGUUGUGAGGUGUAAAGUGUGCCUUCAGCUAAUCCUUGAUACUUUGAGUGAUGCUGAGUUUCUUUCUCCAACUUCAGGGUGGGAGGGUUAAGCUUAAUACGUACUUCUCUGAGGUGAGAAAUCAUACUGAUAUUUUAGGAAUAAGCCGCUUAAUCACAAGUUUCAACAUUUUUGCUAAAUCCUAACCUAAUCCCGUGAAAGAAGGGGACGCAUCCCUUGCCAUAGUGUGCUUGGGUUACGGACCCUGAGUGAUAACCUAUCAAUUACCCCCUGCCAAAACCUCACCUUGUAUCACUGUUCUGGGGUUCCAUUAUACAAAUCCUAUGCUGCUAGCUAGCAUCUGCUUUUGUUUCUCAUUCAUAGUCCACUGCCUCAUUCCUCGGGAGUUAUACUCAGGAAGAUAGAUUCUCACCUCUCACUAUUUUUUUUUUUUGCCAGUCUAUUCACUGAAUCUCUAAGUGUUUGAAUGGAUCAUGCUAAUAGGCUGCUAUAGAAUAAAGGCUCAUGGAUUGUUCUUAAUUGAGUGGAUAGAUGGCCAAGCAGCGCACACACAGUUGACACUGUACCCUUCAGCCAUCAUUUGUACAGUGGUGACAUCUAAAACCAGAGACACCCUCCAUUGAAUUUAGAAAAGUAAGUGUUCCAUAUGAUGUGUGGAAUGCGUUUAUAUAACUUAGAGGUUUCUACCUUGGCUGUAAGACACCAAACAAAAUGUUAAUUUCAGAAACCUAUAGUAAGUGUUGAGCCCUGCAGAAAGCUUGGUUCCACCAUUUAGGCCAUGUCAGUGUUUUCUUUUUCCCUUUCUGCUCUUAUUUCUUUAAAUUCUGUUUCCAGGGUGAAGGUAUUACCUUGUUUUAAUCCCAGACCUCAUGGUAUCUUUUCUUCAUUUGCAAGUAGGAUAAUAAUUUCUCUCCUAGAGAGGUGUUGUGGGGAUUUAAUGAAACUCUGCAGUAUCUGAGUGUUUAUACAUACAAGUGACAGAUAUUAUAGUUCCUGGCUUUUUGUUCUACAUCAGUUAAGGAAGGAAGAGCAGUGUUCUUGGGCCAUUCUCAAUUCUCUGUUGCUAGGUCACACGCUUGGUAUGUUACCUGUCUCUAAGAUGGCAGUGCCUUUUCUGACUCUGUGGUUUUGCCUCAUAAAAAAUUACUGCUGUGCCAAGACACAGGGAAGACAUUUUCACACUGAGAUUCUAUGUGACAACUUGAAUCUCCACAAGGCAAAAGCUGUAGGAAUUGAAUUCCCGUCUAGGCUUGUACAGUGACCAAGCAUGUCAGUUCAGGGUGAACAGUUAUGCCGUCUAUGUUCCAAGCCUGGUGUAAGGUAUUGAGGCUAUCAGGAUUCUUGCCUAGGAGGAACAACUGGCAGAGAAAAUGGGACCACAAGCUUUCAUGAGGACACACAGUCAUAAUGGUAUGAACAUUCCAGCUGUUCUGGAACUAGAAAAAUGGGGUGCUCCAUAUAGUGGGGUAGGAUGCUUUACUUGGAGUGGGUGAUGCCUCAGCUGCAUCAUGGAGUAGACGGAGCAAUGCACAUGGAGGAAGGAGAAAGUGGUUUGCAAGGAGAGGAGGUCCUGAGCAUCAAGGGACCACAGGCAGGCAGCAUUUACAUGUAGAGGUGCAAAUACAAGCAUCUCUCAGGAAAACAGAACCCACAGUAGAUAUUUAUCUAUAGAAUGAUGAUACACACAUUGGAAGACUGGGAGACAAAAAGAAAUGCCACCAUAAUUCUAUAUACAGGGACACCAACUUGUCAGCCUGUGGAGGAACUAGGACCCUAGGACAUGUGUAUCUACCCUGGCCUCUCAGGAGAAGGAAGGAGAGUGACACAGAGAUGUGAAAGAAGCAGUGAGCAUUGAGAUCUGGCCUGGCUGGGAAAGAUGCUAAGAACUUUCUGAGUUGAAUUGUUGCAGUAAUUCUGGCAAAAAGAACAAGUUAAGUCAAAGGAGCAGGACCCUUGUCCCAUUGCUGCCUUCCAUCCUUACUUAAUGGCCUCUGCUGAAGCACAUGACAGGAACUUAGCUGACC